rnacentral:rRNA from 1 species
GGGCCUAACACAUGCAAGUCGAGCGCUCUCUUCGGAGGGAGCGGCGGACGGGUUAGUAACGCGUGGGAACGUGCCCUUUGCUACGGAACAACUGCUGGAAACGGCAGCUAAUACCGUAUGUGCCCUAUGGGGGAAAGAUUUAUCGGCAAAGGAUCGGCCCGCGUUGGAUUAGAUAGUUGGUGGGGUAACGGCCUACCAAGUCAACGAUCCAUAGCUGGUUUGAGAGGAUGAUCAGCAACACUGGGACUGAGACACGGCCCAGACUCCUACGGGAGGCAGCAGUGGGGAAUCUUGGACAAUGGGCGCAAGCCUGAUCCAGCCAUGCCGCGUGAGCGAUGAAGGCCUUAGGGUUGUAAAGCUCUUUCACCGGUGAAGAUAAUGACGGUAGCCGGAGAAGAAGCCCCGGCUAACUCCGUGCCAGCAGCCGCGGUAAUACGGAGGGGGCUAGCGUUGUUCGGAAUUACUGGGCGUAAAGCGCACGUAGGCGGGCUGUUAAGUCGGGGGUGAAAUCCCGGGGCUCAACCCCGGAACUGCCCUCGAUACUGGCAGCCUAGAGGAUGAGAGAGGCGAGUGGAAUGUCGAGUGUAGAGGUGAAAUUCGUAGAUAUUCGACGGAACACCAGUGGCGAAGGCGGCUCGCUGGCUCAUUUCUGACGCUGAGGUGCGAAAGCGUGGGGGAGCAAACAGGAUUAGAUACCCUG